GGCCCAGUAGCACAGCGGUUUAGUGCGCCCUGAAUUGAUGUUGCAUAUCCCAGACACCACUAUCAGGAGGACCCUUGUUCGACUCAAGGCUGGGGCA